rnacentral:rRNA from 1 species
CACUCCUGCGGGAGGCAGCAGUGGGGAAUAUUGGACAAUGGGGGCAACCCUGAUCCAGCCAUGCCGCGUGAGUGAUGAAGGCCCUAGGGUUGUAAAGCUCUUUUGUGCGGGAAGAUAAUGACGGUACCGCAAGAAUAAGCCCCGGCUAACUUCGUGCCAGCAGCCGCGGUAAUACGAAGGGGGCUAGCGUUGCUCGGAAUCACUGGGCGUAAAGGGUGCGUAGGCGGGUCUUUAAGUCAGGGGUGAAAUCCUGGAGCUCAACUCCAGAACUGCCUUUGAUACUGAGGAUCUUGAGUCCGGAAGAGGUGAGUGGAACUGCGAGUGUAGAGGUGAAAUUCGUAGAUAUUCGCAAGAACACCAGUGGCGAAGGCGGCUCACUGGUCCGGUACUGACGCUGAGGCACGAAAGCGUGGGGAGCAAACAGGAUUAGAAACCCGAGUAGUCCCAUGA